AUGCAGUCGAGCGGAGAGAGGUAGCUUGCUACUGAUCUUAGCGGCGGACGGGUGAGUAAUGCUUAGGAAUCUGCCUAUUAGUGGGGGACAACAUUUCGAAAGGAAUGCUAAUACCGCAUACGUCCUACGGGAGAAAGCAGGGGAUCUUCGGACCUUGCGCUAAUAGAUGAGCCUAAGUCGGAUUAGCUAGUUGGUGGGGUAAAGGCCUACCAAGGCGACGAUCUGUAGCGGGUCUGAGAGGAUGAUCCGCCACACUGGGACUGAGACACGGCCCAGACUCCUACGGGAGGCAGCAGUGGGGAAUAUUGGACAAUGGGCGCAAGCCUGAUCCAGCCAUGCCGCGUGUGUGAAGAAGGCCUUAUGGUUGUAAAGCACUUUAAGCGAGGAGGAGGCUACUUUAGUUAAUACCUAGAGAUAGUGGACGUUACUCGCAGAAUAAGCACCGGCUAACUCUGUGCCAGCAGCCGCGGUAAUACAGAGGGUGCAAGCGUUAAUCGGAUUUACUGGGCGUAAAGCGCGCGUAGGCGGCUAAUUAAGUCAAAUGUGAAAUCCCCGAGCUUAACUUGGGAAUUGCAUUCGAUACUGGUUAGCUAGAGUGUGGGAGAGGAUGGUAGAAUUCCAGGUGUAGCGGUGAAAUGCGUAGAGAUCUGGAGGAAUACCGAUGGCGAAGGCAGCCAUCUGGGCCUAACACUGACGCUGAGGUGCGAAAGCAUGGGGAGCAAACAGGAUUAGAUACCCUGGUAGUCCAUGCCGUAAACGAUGUCUACUAGCCGUUGGGGCCUUUGAGGCUUUAGUGGCGGCAGCUAACGCGAUAAGUAGACCGCCUGGGGGAGUACGGUCGCAAGACUAAAACUCAAAUGAAUUGACGGGGGCCCGCACAAGCGGUGGGAGCAUGUGGUUUAAUUCGAUGCAACGAGAAGAACCUUACCUGGCCUUGACAUAGUA
rnacentral:rRNA from 1 species